rnacentral:rRNA from 1 species
ACACGACCGUACCGCAAACCGACACUGGUGCGCGAGAUGAGUAUUCUAAGGCGCUUGAGAGAACUCAGGAGAAGGAACUCGGCAAAUUGACACCGUAACUUCGGAAGAAGGUGUGCCUUUAGUAGGUGAACCUGUACAAGGGGAGCCCAAUGAGGUUGCAAAAAAUCGGUGGCUGCGACUGUUUAAUAAAAACACAGCACUCUGCAAACACGAAAGUGGACGUAUAGGGUGUGACGCCUGCCCGGUGCUGGAAGAUUAAAUGAUGGGGUGCAAGCUCUUGAUUGAAGUCCCAGUAAACGGCGGCCGUAACAAUAACGGUCCUAAGGUAGCGAAAUUCCUUGUCGGGUAAGUUCCGACCUGCACGAAUGGCGUAACGAUGGCCACACUGUCUCCUCCUGAGACUCAGCGAAGUUGAAAUGUUUGUGAUGAUGCAAUCUCCCCGCGGAAAGACGGAAAGACCCCAUGAACCUUUACUGUAGCUUUGUAUUGGACUUUGAACAGAUCUGUGUAGGAUAGGUGGGAGGCUUUGAAGUGUGGUCGCUAGAUCGCAUGGAGCCAACGUUGAAAUACCACCCUGGUGUGUUUGAGGUUCUAACCUAGGCCCGUAAUCCGGGUCGGGGACAGUGCAUGGUAGGCAGUUUGACUGGGGCGGUCUCCUCCCAAAGCGUAACGGAGGAGUUCGAAGGUACGCUAGGUACGGUCGGACAUCGUGCUAAUAGUGCAAUGGCAUAAGCGUGCUUAACUGCGAGACUGACAAGUCGAGCAGAUGCGAAAGCAGGACAUAGUGAUCCGGUGGUUCUGUAUGGAAGGGCCAUCGCUCAACGGAUAAAAGGUACUCUGGGGAUAACAGGCUGAUACCGCCCAAGAGUUCAUAUCGACGGCGGUGUUUGGCACCUCGAUGUCGGCUCAUCUCAUCCUGGGGCUGUAGCCGGUCCCAAGGGUAUGGCUGUUCGCCAUUUAAAGAGGUACGUGAGCUGGGUUUAAAACGUCGUGAGACAGUUUGGUCCCUAUCUUCCGUGGGCGCUGCAGAUUUGAGGAAGCCUGCUCCUAGUACGAGAGGACCGGAGUGGACACACCUCUGGUGUAUCGGUUGUCACGCCAGUGGCAUUGCCGAGUAGCUAUGUGUGGAAGAGAUAACCGCUGAAAGCAUCUAAGCGGGAAACUCGUUUCAAGAUGAGAUCUGCCGGGGCCUUGAGCCCCCUAAAGAGUCGUUCAAGACCAGGACGUUGAUAGGUCGGGUGUGGAAGCGCAGUAAUGCGUUAAGCUAACCGAUACUAAUUGCUCGUGCGGCUUGACCUA